UACGAAGGGGGCUAGCGUUGCUCGGAAUGACUGGGCGUAAAGGGCGCGUAGGCGGCUUGGACAGUUGGUUGUGAAAUUCCUGGGCUUAACCUGGGGGCUGCAAUCAAUACGUUUAGGCUAGAGUGGGGAAGAGGGUCGUGGAAUUCCCAGUGUAGAGGUGAAAUUCGUAGAUAUUGGGAAGAACACCGGUGGCGAAGGCGGCGACCUGGUCCUUGACUGACGCUGAGGCGCGAAAGCGUGGGGAGCAAACAGG
rnacentral:rRNA from 1 species